rnacentral:rRNA from 1 species
GGGCCCGCACAAGCGGUGGAGUAUGUGGUUUAAUUCGAAGAUACGCGCAGAACCUUACCAACACUUGACAUGUUCGUCGCGAGCCUAAGAGAUUAGGCUUUUCAGUUUGGCUGGACGAAACACAGGUGCUGCAUGGCUGUCGUCAGCUCGUGUCGUGAGAUGUUGGGUUAAGUCCCGCAACGAGCGCAACCCCCUACUUUUAGUUGCCACCAUUUAGUUGGGCACUUUAAAAGACUGCCAGUGAUAAGCUGGAGGAAGGUGGGGAUGACGUCAAGUCCUCAUGGCCCUUAUGUGUUGGGCUACACACGUGCUACAAUGGCACUUACAAUGGGAAGCAAAGAGGUGACUCCUAGCUAAUCCCAAAAAUGUGUCUCAGUUCGGAUUGUACUCUGUAACUCGAGUACAUGAAGCUGGAAUUGCUAGUAAUCG